GACGAACGCUGGCGGCGUGCCUAAUACAUGCAAGUCGAACGAACCGCGACUAGGUGCUUGCACUUGGUCAAGGUGAGUGGCGAACGGGUGAGUAACACGUGGGUAACCUACCUCAUAGUGGGGGAUAACAGUCGGAAACGACUGCUAAUACCGCAUAGGACAUAGGAUCACAUGAUUCUGUGAGGAAAGGUGGCGCAAGCUAUCGCUAAGAGAUGGACCCGCGGUGCAGUAGCUAGUUGGUAGGGUAAAGGCCUACCAAGGCGAGGAUGCAUAGCCGACCUGAGAGGGUGAUCGGCCACAUGGGGACUGGAACACGGCCCAAACUCCUACGGGAGGCAGCAGUAGGGAAUCUUCCGCAAUGGACGCAAGUCUGACGGAGCAACGCCGCGUGAGUGAAGAAGGUCUUCGGAUCGUAAAGCUCUGUUGUUAGAGAAGAACAGCGCAUAGAGUAACUGCUAUGCGUGUGACGGUAUCUAAUCAGAAAGCCACGGCUAACUACGUG
rnacentral:rRNA from 1 species